rnacentral:rRNA from 1 species
CCUACGGGGGGCUGCAGUGGGGAAUUUUGCGCAAUGGGCGAAAGCCUGACGCAGCGACGCCGCGUGGGUGAUGAAGGCCUUCGGGUUGUAAAGCCCUGUGGGGAGGGAAGAAUAAAGGACGGCGAAUACCCGUCCCGAUGACGGUACCUCCUUAGCAAGCACCGGCUAACUCUGUGCCAGCAGCCGCGGUAAGACAGAGGGUGCAAACGUUGUUCGGAAUUACUGGGCGUAGAGCGCGUAUGGGCGGCUAGAAAGCCCUUGGCUCAACCGAGGAAGUGCAUUCGAAACUGCGCAGCUUGAGUCCCGGAGAGGAUGGUGGAAUUCUCGGUGUAGAGGUGAAAUUCGUAGAUAUCGAGAGGAACACCGGUGGCGAAGGCGGCCAUCUGGACGGUGACUGACGCUGAGACGCGAAAGCAUGGGGAGCAAACAGGAUUAGAUACCCGAGUAGUC